rnacentral:rRNA from 1 species
GUUGAACGCUGGCGGCAGGCUUAACACAUGCAAGUCGAGCGGUAACAGAGAGAAGCUUGCUUUUCUGCUGACGAGCGGCGGACGGGUGAGUAAUGCCUAGGAAUCUGCCUAGUAGUGGGGGAUAACUUGCCGAAAGGUAAGCUAAUACCGCAUCGGUCGUACGGGAGAAAGGAGGGGACCUUCGGGCCUUUCGCUAUUAGAUGAGCCUAGGUCGGAUUAGUUAGUUGGUGAGGUAAUGGCUCACCAAGACCGCGAUCCGUAACUGGGCUGAGAGGAUGAUCAGUCACACUGGAACUGAGACACUGUCCAGACUCCUACGGGAGGCAGCAGUGGGGAAUAUUGGACAAUGGGGGGAACCCUGAUCCAGCCAUGCCGCGUGUGUGAAGAAGGUCUUAGGAUUGUAAAGCACUUUAAGUUGGGAGGAAGAGCAGUUAACUAAUAUUUGACUGUUUUGACGUUACCGACAGAAUAAGCACCGGCUAACUUCGUGCCAGCAGCCGCCGCCGUAA